rnacentral:rRNA from 1 species
UACGGGGGGGGCAAGCGUUGUUCGGAAUUACUGGGCGUAAAGGGCUCGUAGGUGGCCAACUACGUCAUACGUGAAAUCCCUCGGCUUAACCGGGGAACUGCGUCUGAUACUGGAUGGCUUGAGGUUGGGAGAGGGAUGCGGAAUUCCAGGUGUAGCGGUGAAAUGCGUAGAUAUCUGGAGGAACACCGGUGGCGAAGGCGGCAUCCUGGACCAAGUCUGACACUGAGGAGCGAAAGCCAGGGGAGCAAACGGG